AUUGAACGCUGGCGGCAGGCCUAACACAUGCAAGUCGAGCGAGCGGCGGCCGGGUGAGUAAUGUAUGGGGACUGCCCGAUAGCGGGGGAUAACUACUGGAAACGGUGGCUAAUACCGCAUACUAUCGGAUAACCCAUAUGGGAUUAGCUAGUAGGUGGGGUAAAGGCUCACCUGGGCGACGAUCGCUAGCUGGUCUGAGAGGAUGAUCAGCCAAAUGGGGACGGGGACACGGCCCAGACUCCUACGGAGGCAGCAGUGGGGAAUAUUGGACAAUGGGCGCAAGCCUGAUGCAGCCAUGCCGCGUGAGUGAAGAAGGUUUUCGGAUCGUAAAACUCUGUUGUUAGAGAAGCGGUAUCUAACCAGAAAGCCACGGCUAACUACGUGCCAGCAGCCGCGGUAAUAC
rnacentral:rRNA from 1 species